rnacentral:rRNA from 2 species
GGUUAAGCGACCAAGCGUACACGGUGGAUGCCCUGGCAGUCAGAGGCGAUGAAGGACGUGCUAAUCUGCGAAAAGCGCCGGUAAGGUGAUAUGAACCGUUAUAACCGGCGAUGUCCGAAUGGGGAAACCCAGUGUGACUCGUCACACUAUCAUUAACUGAAUCCAUAGGUUAAUGAGGCGAACCGGGGGAACUGAAACAUCUAAGUACCCCGAGGAAAAGAAAUCAACCGAGAUUCCCCCAGUAGCGGCGAGCGAACGGGGAGGAGCCCAGAGCCUGAAUCAGCAUGUGUGUUAGUGGAAGCGUCUGGAAAGGCGCGCGAUACAGGGUGAGAGCCCCGUACACAAAAGCGCAUAUGCUGUGAGCUCGAUGAGUAGGGCGGGACACGUGGUAUCCUGUCUGAAUAUGGGGGGACCAUCCUCCAAGGCUAAAUACUCCUGACUGACCGAUAGUGAACCAGUACCGUGAGGGAAAGGCGAAAAGAACCCCGGCGAGGGGAGUGAAACAGAACCUGAAACCGUGUACGUACAAGCAGUGGGAGCCUCUCUUUAUGGGGGGUGACUGCGUACCUUUUGUAUAAUGGGUCAGCGACUUAUAUUCUGUAGCAAGGUUAACCGCAUAGGGGAGCCGAAGGGAAACCGAGUCUUAACCGGGCGUUAAGUUGCAGGGUAUAGACCCGAAACCCGGUGAUCUAGCCAUGGGCAGGUUGAAGGUUGGGUAACACUAACUGGAGGACCGAACCGACUAAUGUUGAAAAAUUAGCGGAUGACCUGUGGCUGGGGGUGAAAGGCCAAUCAAACCGGGAGAUAGCUGGUUCUCCCCGAAAGCUAUUUAGGUAGCGCCUCGUGAACUCAUCUCCGGGGGUAGAGCACUGUUUCGGCUAGGGGGCCAUCCCGGCUUACCAACCCGAUGCAAACUGCGAAUACCGGAGAAUGUUAUCACGGGAGACACACGGCGGGUGCUAACGUCCGUCGUGAAGAGGGAAACAACCCAGACCGCCAGCUAAGGUCCCAAAGUCAUGGUUAAGUGGGAAACGAUGUGGGAAGGCCCAGACAGCCAGGAUGUUGGCUUAGAAGCAGCCAUCAUUUAAAGAAAGCGUAAUAGCUCACUGGUCGAGUCGGCCUGCGCGGAAGAUGUAACGGGGCUAAACCAUGCACCGAAGCUGCGGCAGCGACACUUUAGUGUUGUUGGGUAGGGGAGCGUUCUGUAAGCCGUUGAAGGUGUCCUGUGAGGGGUGCUGGAGGUAUCAGAAGUGCGAAUGCUGACAUAAGUAACGAUAAAGCGGGUGAAAAGCCCGCUCGCCGGAAGACCAAGGGUUCCUGUCCAACGUUAAUCGGGGCAGGGUGAGUCGACCCCUAAGGCGAGGCCGAAAGGCGUAGUCGAUGGGAAACGGGUUAAUAUUCCCGUACUUGGUGUUACUGCGAAGGGGGGACGGAGAAGGCUAUGUUGGCCGGGCGACGGUAGUCCCGGUUUAAGCGUGUAGGUGUGUGUUCCAGGCAAAUCCGGUUCACUUUAACACUGAGGCGUGAUGACGAGGCACCACGGUGCUGAAGCAACAAAUGCCCUGCUUCCAGGAAAAGCCUCUAAGCAUCAGGUAACAUCAAAUCGUACCCCAAACCGACACAGGUGGUCAGGUAGAGAAUACCAAGGCGCUUGAGAGAACUCGGGUGAAGGAACUAGGCAAAAUGGUGCCGUAACUUCGGGAGAAGGCACGCUGACACGUAGGUGAAGUGAUUUACUCACGGAGCUGAAGUCAGUCGAAGAUACCAGCUGGCUGCAACUGUUUAUUAAAAACACAGCACUGUGCAAACACGAAAGUGGACGUAUACGGUGUGACGCCUGCCCGGUGCCGGAAGGUUAAUUGAUGGGGUCAGCGCAAGCGAAGCUCCUGAUCGAAGCCCCGGUAAACGGCGGCCGUAACUAUAACGGUCCUAAGGUAGCGAAAUUCCUUGUCGGGUAAGUUCCGACCUGCACGAAUGGCGUAAUGAUGGCCAGGCUGUCUCCACCCGAGACUCAGUGAAAUUGAACUCGCUGUGAAGAUGCAGUGUACCCGCGGCAAGACGGAAAGACCCCGUGAACCUUUACUAUAGCUUGACACUGAACAUUGAGCCUUGAUGUGUAGGAUAGGUGGGAGGCUUUGAAGCGUGGACGCCAGUCUGCGUGGAGCCGACCUUGAAAUACCACCCUUUAAUGUUUGAUGUUCUAACGUGGACCCGUAAUCCGGGUUGCGGACAGUGUCUGGUGGGUAGUUUGACUGGGGCGGUCUCCUCCUAAAGAGUAACGGAGGAGCACGAAGGUUGGCUAAUCCUGGUCGGACAUCAGGAGGUUAGUGCAAUGGCAUAAGCCAGCUUGACUGCGAGCGUGACGGCGCGAGCAGGUGCGAAAGCAGGUCAUAGUGAUCCGGUGGUUCUGAAUGGAAGGGCCAUCGCUCAACGGAUAAAAGGUACUCCGGGGAUAACAGGCUGAUACCGCCCAAGAGUUCAUAUCGACGGCGGUGUUUGGCACCUCGAUGUCGGCUCAUCACAUCCUGGGGCUGAAGUAGGUCCCAAGGGUAUGGCUGUUCGCCAUUUAAAGUGGUACGCGAGCUGGGUUUAGAACGUCGUGAGACAGUUCGGUCCCUAUCUGCCGUGGGCGCUGGAGAAUUGAGGGGGGCUGCUCCUAGUACGAGAGGACCGGAGUGGACGCAUCACUGGUGUUCGGGUUGUCAUGCCAAUGGCACUGCCCGGUAGCUAAAUGCGGAAAAGAUAAGUGCUGAAAGCAUCUAAGCACGAAACUUGCCCCGAGAUGAGUUCUCCCUGAGACUUUGAGUCUCCUGAAGGAACGUUAAAGACGAUGACGUUGAUAGGCCGGGUGUGUAAGCGCAGCGAUGCGUUGAGCUAACCGGUACUAAUGAACCGUGAGGCUUAACCUU